UACGAAGGGUACAAGCGUUAAUCGGAAUUACUGGGCGUAAAGGGUGCGUAGGCGGUUGUUUAAGUCUGUCGUGAAAUCCCCGGGCUCAACCUGGGAAUGGCGAUGGAUACUGGGCAGCUAGAGUGUGUCAGAGGAUGGUGGAAUUCCCGGUGUAGCGGUGAAAUGCGUAGAGAUCGGGAGGAACAUCAGUGGCGAAGGCGGCCAUCUGGGACAACACUGACGCUGAAGCACGAAAGCGUGGGGAGCAAACAGG
rnacentral:rRNA from 1 species